rnacentral:rRNA from 1 species
CCUACGGGAGGCAGCAGUGAGGAAUAUUGGUCAAUGGGCGGAAGCCUGAACCAGCCAAGUCGCGUGCGGGAUGAAGGCCCUACGGGUCGUAAACCGCUUUUGCACGGGGAUAACACCCUCCACUUGUGGAGGUCUGCAGGUACCGUGCGAAUAAGGGCCGGCUAAUUCCGUGCCAGCAGCCGCGGUAAUACGGAAGGCCCGAGCGUUAUCCGGAUUCAUUGGGCUUAAAGGGAGCGUAGGCGGGCGUUCAAGUCAGCUGUAAAAUCGCGCGGCUCAACCGCGCCCCGCAGUUGAAACUGGACGCAUUGAGUGCGCAACAGGCAGGCGGAAUUCGUGGUGUAGCGGUGAAAUGCAUAGAUAUCACGAGGAACCCCGAUUGCGAAGGCAGCCUGCCGGGGUGCGACUGACGCUGAGGCUCGAAGGUGCGGGUAUCAAACAGGAUUAGAUACCCGGGUAGUC